AAGAUGCGCAUACCAUCGAUUUAGAUUUGUCACAUUUGUGUAAGUUGCAACAAAAAGAGGUUGGGCAACUAGUAUUCUAAACCAAUUAAAAAAUCCAAGCUCUCCAAUUGAGAUGAAAAUUCUUUUAACAGACGAGCUGACAGUAUUUCAGCAUCCGAGACGUAUAGCCGUGUGUGAUCAGAACAUUAUUGAUGAGCCAGUGAAGGAAUGGCUAGCGGAGAAAAUUAUCAAGCCCAGUAUGUCUAUGCCUCACCAGUUGUUUUAGUGGCCAAGAAGAAUGGAAAAAAAACGUUUGUGCUGCGACUACCGUAAAUCAAACGAAAAGUUGAUGCGUGAAAAUUUUUGUAUGCCUCAAAUGGAUACCGGAGAUGAAAAGCUGCAAGCCGUGUUCACUAGAUUUAUAAUGGCAGUUCCAAAAUGGAGAUCCGUUCGAUUAUAUGGACGGCGUCAUCAUGCCGAGCAGCAAUGUUGAUGAGGGCAUGGUGAAGCUCAAAAGAGUGCUGCAAGUUGGAGGAAAGAAUGGUCUACGCAUAAAUUAAUUGAAGUGUCAACUGUUGCAAGGGAAAGCUAGCUUCUUAGGGUAAAUAGUGUAAAAGCGCACUUUAACUCAGAGCAAGGAAAAGACCCAGGCUGUUGCAAAUUUUCCGAUACCACGGAAUAAAAAGGAUAUUCAGCGAUUUUUGGGGCUGACAUCCAAUUUUCGAAGCAUGUCGCAUUUGAACAAUUGAAAGCAGCAGUGACCAGUGGACCUGUAUUAAAACUAUAUAAUCCCAACUUACAAACGGAAAUUCACACGGAUGCUAACAAGUUUGGUUUUGGUGGGGUAUUGUUGCAGAAAAACCCAGAAGACUGUUUGUUUCAUCCUGUUCAGUAUAUGAGCAGUAAGACAAAUGCAUCUGAAGAAAAGUACGAUUCAUACGAAUUAAAAGUUCUAACUGUUUGUCUGCUCUAAUUAAAUGGCGUGUGUACGUAUUAGGCAUAAAUAACGAUGAAGAAAAAAGAAGUUCCUUUGCGUGUAGAACGAUGGGCAGUUGGGCUUGCAAGACUUCGACUAUGAAAUGGACCACCGUUCGGGUUCCAAAAUGCGACAUGUUGUCGCGUUGAGCCGUGUUUCAUGUUGAGGAAAAGGGGUAUGAAGAUUUCUACAUUGAAAACAAAAUCAUGUAUAAAGACCCGAAUCGGUAGUUAAUUGUUGUGCCAUGUCUAAUGGAAAUGGAGCUCAUUCUUAUUGCACACAAGCAGGGCCAUUUUUCCGCUAA